AACGGUCUAUACCUGCGGUACCUGCGGAGGGAUCAUUAUUGAUUGAUAAAAGGAUGUGCUGGCAAAGAAAUUCUAUUUUUUUGCAUUGUGCACUCCUGAAAUCUUCAUCCACCAGUGCAUUUUGUAGACAAAUCAACAAAUUAAUUUUUGUUGUUCUUUGUCUAUGCUUUUUGAUACACAUUAUCAGCUUUAUGGAAUGGUGUUCUUGACUUAUCAAAAGUCAAAAAAUUUAAAACAACU
rnacentral:misc_RNA from 1 species